UUAUGGCUCAGGAUGAACGCUGGCGGCGCACAUAAGACAUGCAAGUCGAACGAACUUAAUCGAAAGUUACUUUGAAGCGGUUAGUGGCGGACUGGUGAGUAACACGUAAGCAACCUGCCUAUCAGAGGGGAAUAACAGUGAGAAAUCAUUGCUAAUACCGCAUAUGCUCACAGUACCACAUGGUACAGUGAGGAAAGGAGCAAUCCGCUGAUAGAUGGGCUUGCGUCUGAUUAGAUAGUUGGUGGGGUAACGGCCUACCAAGUCGACGAUCAGUAGCCGGACUGAGAGGUUGAACGGCCACAUUGGGACUGAGAUACGGCCCAGACUCCUACGGGAGGCAGCAGUCGGGAAUAUUGCGCAAUGGAGGAAACUCUGACGCCAGUGACGCCGCGUGCAGGAAGAAGGUUUUCGGAUUGUAAACUGCUUUAGUUAAGGAAGAUACAAGACAGUACUUAAAGAAUAAGCACCGGCUAACUAUGUGCCAGCAGCGGC
rnacentral:rRNA from 1 species